rnacentral:rRNA from 1 species
GGCAGGCUUGAGUCUUGUAGAGGGGGGUAGAAUUCCAGGUGUAGCGGUGAAAUGCGUAGAGAUCUGGAGGAAUACCGGUGGCGAAGGCGGCCCCCUGGACAAAGACUGACGCUCAGGUGCGAAAGCGUGGGGAGCAAACAGGAUUAGAUACCCUGGUAGUCCACGCCGUAAACGAUGUCUACUUGGAGGUUGUGCCCUUGAGGCGUGGCUUCCGGAGCUAACGCGUUAAGUAGACCGCCUGGGGAGUACGGCCGCAAGGUUAAAACUCAAAUGAAUUGACGGGGGCCCGCACAAGCGGUGGAGCAUGUGGUUUAAUUCGAUGCAACGCGAAGAACCUUAC